rnacentral:lncRNA from 1 species
GCCCAUGUCUAUGGGUGGUUGGCUGGCACGUCCUUAUUGAGCCAAAAAAGAAAAAGAAAAAAAAAGGUGAGAACUGAGAAGAGAUCAUCCCCAAACGAUACUCUCUUAUGGGACAGAGGGAGUAUAAAUUAUCUAUAUACAUUUAACAUUAAAUUUUAAUAUUAUUAUAUUAAAUUAAUAUAUAUUAUGUGAGGUAUCAUGAUAAUUCAUGUGCAUAACACAAAUGGCGUACUAGUUCUACUUAAUCCUAAACUAGUACGACAUCCCAUGCGAUGCACGGUCCACGAUAUAUUUAUUUAUUUAUUUAAAUAAAUUAUAUAAAAAUGUCAAAAUAUCAUUAUUUAGUUAGACUAAUUGGUAUAAAAAAUUAUGUUAAUUUAAAUAGUAGUAUUUGAUUUAAAAUAAUGUAUAGUAACAAUAUUAUCAAUUAACUUAAUGAUAAUAUUGACCCGCACUUAGAUCCUGAGCCGCAUCCUGACUCAAAUCGUGUAAAUAAAACUAUUAGAUUAUACAAAUGACACUGCCUAUAAUUGAUACUGUUCGAUUAUAUAAAUCAUACUGUAACAUUUUGAAAUAUUAUAGUGUCAUUUUCAAUCUUAUAGUAUCAUUUAAAAUAUUAUAGUGUAAUUUACAAUCUUAUAGUGAGAAUUACAAGAAUUGUCGUUUAUAUUUCUGAAUAGUGUCAAUUAUACGCAGUGUCAUUUACAAUGUUAUAGUAUCCUUUAUACACAACAUCAUUUGUAUAACAGAAUAGUGUCAAUUACAGACAGUGUCAUUUGUAUAACCGAAUAGUGUCAUUUACACGAUUUGGGUUAGGGGUGAGCAAUCAGUUGGUUCGGUUGAAACCGAUCCGAUCACUUAAAACCAAAUCAUCCAAACUUCAAAAAAUGUCAACCGAUCCAAACCAAAAUUCUCCUUCCAACUGAUCCGAUCCAAACCAUAUUUACUUCGAUUUCAGUUUAACCAAACUUUGAUAUAAUAUUUAAAUUUUUUAUUUUACAAACAUAUUAUUUGUUAAUGAGAAUUUUAUAACAAAAUAAAUUAAACCAACCUCAACUCAAAUAUUUACCAUAAAUUAAUAUAAUAUUUACCUAUCCAUUAACCAAGUUCAAUUAUGAUCAAAUUGUAGGUAUAAUAUAUAUAUAUAUAUAUAAUAAAUUAUUAAAUUAAAAAAAUUUGGUCGGUUCCGUUCCAUCCGAAUCUUUUAAAUACAAAACCGAUCCAACAAAAAAAAUUCAGUUUUUUUAAAAUUAGAACCGAUCUAAAACCAAAACAAUUCAAAAUCGAAUCAAAUCGACCAAAUACCAAUGGUUCGGUUCGAUUAUUUGGAUCCAGUUCGAUUUGCUCACCCCUAAUUUGGGUCAAGAUGAGGGUCCGAAUUAGGAUGUCGAUCAGGGUUUGGGUGCGGGUCAACUCGAUUGUAUUCAAGAUCACCUCUUAUAAUUUUUAUAUUGAAUUAAUGAUCUUUUUGUAAUCUUUAAUUUACAUUCAUAUUGAAUAUUUUUUGAUAAAUCGAAAUUAAUAAUUUUUUAGAAGAAUUAAAAUAGAAAUUAAUAACAAAGAUAUGCAGAGAAAUCUUUCCAAGAUUUUGUCUAGAAAAUAUUUUUUUUUAAUUUUGAUAAAAAUAAAUCCCAAGUACCUGAAAUUGGGUGGAUUAUUGGGCCAAACUCGGACGCCGUCGGCAGAGCCCACCGGAGCAGCCCUCAUAGUCAAGCGAUCAAUCCAAUCCAACGGCUGAAGCUUCGACUUGAAGAAAUUCCGGCCAUAUCCCAUGUUAUCCGCAUCCAUGUACGUUCCCACACUCGAUUUUUUCUCCUCGAACGGCAGCUCGAAGAAUUCCUUCACUACUUGUUCCACCUCCUCCAUAACCCGUGGAUCCAAGUGUCAUCGCAAACAUACCCCAUUCCCCGCAGAUGCUGCCCAGUUUCCUCAGCUCCAUGACCCGACCCGACUUGCUCCGGAGUUUUGCCAUGUCUAUCGCGUCAAACAAGGCGUUGGAAGGAAACGGGUGGGCUGCAACCGGAUUUUGGAUGAACUCUUCGGGUAUGGUCUUCAGUCGGGCCAAGUCUUGAACUACUGGAAUUUUGAUUGUUUGUAACUGCCCAUUUUCGUCGAUGAAUUUGGUGUUGUGGUGAUUAAUCUUUUCAAUAUUUUCCAUCAUCGAUUUUUUUUUUUUUCUCGUUAAUUUGGUGGAGAUGAUGAACCAGUGAUGUGAAGACUCAAAAAUAGUGCCUUUUGUUUUUGUUAGUGCAUGUUUUGUGAUCCUUAAGCAGCCACACGUUGCUUUUAGAUCUAAAUAAAUUUAUAUCUAAUUUUCUUUUCGAGUUUUGGAAACAAUGCACACGCGCGCAUCGUAUAAAUUUUUAUAAUCAAUUUACUCAUAUAUAUAUC